rnacentral:rRNA from 1 species
CUACGUGCCAGCAGCCGCGGUAAUACGUAGGGCGCGAGCGUUGUCCGGAUUUAUUGGGUUUAAAGGGAGUGUAGGCGGUUUGUUAAGCGUGUUGUGAAAUUUAGGUGCUCAACAUUUAACUUGCAGCGCGAACUGUCAGACUUGAGUACACGCAACGUAUGCGGAAUUCAUGGUGUAGCGGUGAAAUGCUUAGAUAUGACGAAGAACUCCGAUUGCGAAGGCAGCUGACGGGAGCGCAACUGACGCUUAAGCUCGAAGGUGCGGGUAUCGAACAGGAUUAGAUACCCUGGUAGUCCGCACAGUAAACGAUGGAUGCCCGCUGUUGGUACCUGGUAUCAGCGGCUAAGCGAAAGCAUUAAGCAUCCCACCUGGGGAGUACGCCGGCAACGGUGAAACUCAAAGGAAUUGACGGGGGCCCGCACAAGCGGAGGAACAUGUGGUUUAAUUCGAUGAUACGCGAGGAACCUUACCCGGGCUUGAA